GGCAUCGUGGCAAAGUGGUUUGUGCGCCUGCCUCUUACCCAGAGGUAAUGAGUUCAAGGCUCGUCGCUGCUA
rnacentral:tRNA from 1 species